GUCAGGCUAUCUCUAUGUUGUGUCUACAUGGCGUUAUUGGGAUUGUAUAGGAUUUUAGACUUAAUUUUUUUUUGAGUUCCUCAAGCUGUAUAGCCUUUGUACAGCUAAGUUUUAGGUGAGUUGCUACACCAGAACAAACAGGAAAUCGGGCUUUUUGAACGGACUU